rnacentral:rRNA from 1 species
CCCUUAGACGUUCUGGGCCGCACGCGCGCUACACUGACGAAGGCAACGAGCUUUCCUUUACCGAAAGGUACGGGUAAUCUUUUGAAACUUCGUCGUGCUGGGGAUAGAUCCUUGCAAUUUUUGAUCUUAAACGAGGAAUGCCUAGUAAGCGCAAGUCAUCAACUUGCGUUGAUUACGUCCCUGCCCUUUGUACACACCGCCCGUCGCUACUACCGAUUGAAUGGUUUAGUGAGGCCUUCGGAUCCGCGACUCGUUUGUGGAGAAGUUGGACAAACUCAGUCAUUUAGAGGAAGUAAAAGCCGUAACA